GUACACUCCUACGGGAGGCAGCAGUGGGGAAUAUUGGACAAUGGGCGCAAGCCUGAUCCAGCCAUGCCGCGUGAGUGAUGAAGGCCCUAGGGUUGUAAAGCUCUUUCACCGGUGAAGAUAAUGACGGUAACCGGAGAAGAAGCCCCGGCUAACUUCGUGCCAGCAGCCGCGGUAAUACGAAGGGGGCUAGCGUUGUUCGGAUUUACUGGGCGUAAAGCGCACGUAGGCGGACUAUUAAGUCAGGGGUGAAAUCCCGGGGCUCAACCCCGGAACUGCCUUUGAUACUGGUAGUCUUGAGUUCGAGAGAGGUGAGUGGAAUUCCGAGUGUAGAGGUGAAAUUCGUAGAUAUUCGGAGGAACACCAGUGGCGAAGGCGGCUCACUGGCUCGAUACUGACGCUGAGGUGCGAAAGCGUGGGGAGCAAACAGGAUUAGAUACCCGAGUAGUCCCA
rnacentral:rRNA from 1 species